rnacentral:rRNA from 1 species
UACAGAGGGUGCAAGCGUUGCUCGGAUUUACUGGGCGUAAAGCGUACGCAGACGGCCACGCAGGUCGGGUGUGAAAGCCCCGGGCUCAACCCGGGAAUUGCAUUCGAAACCAUGUGGCUCGAGGAUGGGAGAGGAGAGCGGAAUUCUCGGUGUAGAGGUGAAAUUCGUAGAUAUCGAGAGGAACACCAGUGGCGAAAGCGGCUCUCUGGCCCAUUUCUGACGUUCAGGUACGAAAGCGUGGGGAGCAAACAGG